GACAGAGGGUGCAAACGUUGUUCGGAAUUACUGGGCGUAAAGCGCGUGUAGGCGGCUAUGUAAGUCGGGCGUGAAAUCCCACGGCUCAACCGUGGAAGUGCACCCGAAACUGCGUAGCUAGAGUCCUGGAGAGGAAGGUGGAAUGCUUGGUGUAGAGGUGAAAUUCGUAGAUAUCAAGCGGAACACCGGUGGCGAAGGCGCCUUCUGGACAGUGACUGACGCUGAGACGCGAAAGCGUGGGGGAGCAAACAGG
rnacentral:rRNA from 1 species